UACGUAGGGGGCAAGCGUUGUCCGGAUUCAUUGGGCGUAAAGAGCGUGUAGGCGGCCUGGAAGGUCAGCUGUGAAAACUCGAGGCUCAACCUCGAGACGUCGGUUGAAACCACCUGGCUAGAGUCCGGAAGAGGAGUGUGGAAUUCCCGGUGUAGCGGUGGAAUGCGCAGAUAUCGGGAGGAACACCUGUGGCGAAAGCGGCUCACUGGACCACAACUGACGCUGAGGCGCGAAAGCUAGGGAGCAAACAGG
rnacentral:rRNA from 1 species